rfam:Acanthamoeba castellanii str. Neff unplaced genomic scaffold scf7180000084733, whole genome shotgun sequence.
GACGUUGUGGCCGAGUGGUUAAGGUGCCUCGCUGCUAACGAGGUGGGGUUUCCCCGCGCAGGUUCGAAUCCUGCCAACGUCG